AGUGAACGCUGGCGGUAGGCCUAACACAUGCAAGUCGAACGGCAGCACAGUAAGAGCUUGCUCUUACGGGUGGCGAGUGGCGGACGGGUGAGGAAUACAUCGGAAUCUACUUUUUCGUGGGGGAUAACGUAGGGAAACUUACGCUAAUACCGCAUACGACCUACGGGUGAAAGCAGGGGAUCUUCGUACCUUGCGCGAUUGAAUGAGCCGAUGUCGGAUUAGCUAGUUGGCGGGGUAAAGGCCCACCAAGGCGACGAUCCGUAGCUGGUCUGAGAGGAUGAUCAGCCACACUGGAACUGGGACACGGUCCAGACUCCUACGGAGGGCAGCAGUGGGGAAUAUUGGACAAUGGGCGCAGGCCUGAUCCAGCCAUACCGCGUGGGUGAAGAAGGCCUUCGGGUUGUAAAGCCCUUUUGUUGGGAAAGAAAAGCAGCAGGUUAAUACCCCGCUGUUCUGACGGUACCCAAAGAAUAAGCACCGGCUAACUUCGUG
rnacentral:rRNA from 1 species